UGGGGAAUAUUGGACAAUGGGCGAAAGCCUGAUCCAGCCAUGCCGCGUGUGUGAAGAAGGCCUUUUGGUUGUAAAGCACUUUAAGUGGGGAGGAAAAGCUUAUGGUUAAUACCCAUAAGCCCUGACGUUACCCACAGAAUAAGCACCGGCUAACUCUGUGCCAGCAACCGCGGUAAUACAGAGGGUGCAAGCGUUAAUCGGAAUUACUGGGCGUAAAGCGCGCGUAGGUGGUUAUUUAAGUCAGAUGUGAAAGCCCCGGGCUUAACCUGGGAACUGCAUCUGAUACUGGAUAACUAGAGUAGGUGAGAGGGGAGUAGAAUUCCAGGUGUAGCGGUGAAAUGCGUAGAGAUCUGGAGGAAUACCGAUGGCGAAGGCAGCUCCCUGGCAUCAUACUGACACUGAGGUGCGAAAGCGUGGGUAGCAAACAGGAUUAGAUACCCUGGUAGUCCACGCCGUAAACGAUGUCUACCAGUCGUUGGGUCUUUUAAAGACUUAGUGACGCAGUUAACGCAAUAAGUAGACCGCCUGGGGAGUACGGCCGCAAGGUUA
rnacentral:rRNA from 1 species